GACGAACCGUCCUAACGUUGUUCGGAAUCACUGGGCUUAAAGGGCGCGUAGGCGGCUUGCCAAGUCAGGGGUGAAAUCCUGCAGCUUAACUGUAGAAGGGCCUUUGAUACUGGCGAGCUCGAGGGAGGUAGGGGUAUGUGGAACUUCCGGUGGAGCGGUGAAAUGCGUUGAUAUCGGAAGGAAGACCAGUGGCGAAGGCGGGUCUCUGGACAGUUCCUGACGCUGAGGAGCGAAAGCGUGGGGAGCGAACAGG
rnacentral:rRNA from 1 species